ensembl:snRNA U6 U6 spliceosomal RNA
GUGCCCGCUUCAGCAGCACACAUGCUAAAACUGGAACGAUACAGAAAAGGUUAGCAUGACCCCUGAGCAAGGAUAACAUGCAGAUUCAUGAAGCGUACCACAUUUAA